rnacentral:rRNA from 1 species
CCUACGGGUGGCUGCAGUGAGGAAUAUUGGUCAAUGGGCGGGAGCCUGAACCAGCCAAGCCGCGUGAAGGAAGAAGGCGCCAUGCGUUGUAAACUUCUUUUGUCGGGGAACAAAGUGCGCCACGUGUGGCGUUUUGAGUGUACCCGAAGAAUAAGCACCGGCUAACUCCGUGCCAGCAGCCGCGGUAAUACGGAGGAUGCGAGCGUUAUCCGGAUUUAUUGGGUUUAAAGGGUGCGUAGGCGGUCCUGAAAGUCAGCGGUAAAAGCCCGGGGCUCAACCCCGGCGUGCCGGUGAAACUGUUGGACUAGAGACGGCGAGAGGUACGCGGGAUGCGCGGUGUAGCGGUGAAAUGCAUAGAUAGCGAGGAUGACUCCGAUUGCGAAGGCAGCGUACCGGCGCCGGACUGCCGCUGAGGCACGAAAGCGUGGGUAUCGAACAGGAAUAGAUACCCGGGUAGUC